UUUUAAAUUAAAUAAAGUAAUAGUGGUGGUAGUGGUGGUGGGAUAGUAAUUUAAGUUGAAAUAAUAGCUACGAUAAUCGUAAGAGAUAAAAUAUUGACGAUCCAAAUGACCGAGUUAAACCGAUAUGAUCACAAUUAAAAAACUAUACCCUAAGAGAUACAAUAUUAGGAACCCAAGCAAGCGUGGUAAACUGUUGCUGUGACAUAGACAGUAGCGAUGGUGGUGGGAUUGACGGUAACAAUGGUGAUGAUGAUAACGAUUAUAGUGGUGAUAACGGUAAAAAUGACGGUGGUAGUGGCGGCAAUACGAUUGUAGUGGCGACAAUACGAUUAUAGCAGUGAGCUAGUGAUAGGGAUAAUGAUGACUUGGUAGUAGAGAUAAUAGUGUAAUAAUAUAGGUGAUAGUUAUAUUAUAAAUUUUAUUAUGUAUAAUAUUU
rnacentral:sRNA from 1 species